AGCAGCCGCGGUAAUUCCAGCUCCAAUAGCGUAUAUUAAAGUUGUUGCAGUUAAAAAGCUCGUAGUUGAAUUUCGGGAUCAAUAUUUCGGUCAUGCCGUUGGUAUGCACUGUUAUCAUUGAUUUCUCACCUUCUAAAGAACCGUGAUGCCAUUAAUUUGGUGUUACGGGGAAUUAGGACUGUUACCUUGAAAAAAUUAGAGUGUUUAAAGCAGGCUCACGCUUGAAUACAUUAGCAUGGAAUAAUGAAAUAGGACAUCCGAUUCUAUUUUGUUGGUUUCUAGGAUCGAUGUAAUGAUUAAUAGGGAUAGUUGGGGGCAUUAGUAUUCAAUUGUCAGAGGUGAAAUUCUUGGAUUUAUUGAAGACUAACUACUGCGAAAGCAUUUGCCAAGGAUGUUUUCAUUAAUCAAGAACGAAAGUUAGGGGAUCGAAGACGAUCAGAUACCGUCGUAGUCUUAACCAUAAACUAUGCCGACUAGGGAUCGGAUGAUGUUAAUUUUUUAAUGACUCA
rnacentral:rRNA from 2 species